GAUGAACGCUGGCGGCGUGCCUAAUACAUGCAAGUCGAGCGAACGGACGAGAAGCUUGCUUCUCUGAUGUUAGCGGCGGACGGGUGAGUAACACGUGGAUAACCUACCUAUAAGACUGGGAUAACUUCGGGAAACCGUAGCUAAUACCGGAUAAUAUUUUGAACCGCAUGGUUCAAAAGUGAAAGACGGUCUUGCUGUCACUUAUAGAUGGAUCCGCGCUGCAUUAGCUAGUUGGUACGGUAACGGCUUACCAAGGCAACGAUGCAUAGCCGACCUGAGAGGGUGAUCGGCCACACUGGAACUGGAACACGGUCCAGACUCCUACGGGAGGCAGCAGUAGGGAAUCGUCCGCAAUGGGCGAAAGCCUGACGGAGCAACGCCGCGUGAGUGAUGAAGGUCUUCGGAUCGUAAAACUCUGUUAUUAGGGAAGAACAGAUGUGUAAGUAACUGUGCACAUCGUGACGGUACCUAAUCAGAAAGCCACGGCUAACUACGUG
rnacentral:rRNA from 1 species